UGGGGAAUUUUGCACAAUGGGGGAAACCCUGAUGCAGCGACGCCGCGUGAUUUAGAAGGCCUUCGGGUUGUAAAAAUCUUUUCUAUGGGAAGAAAAUGACAGUACCAUAGGAAUAAGGACCGGCUAAUUACGUGCCAGCAGCCGCGGUAAUACGUAAGGUCCGAGCGUUGUCCUGAAUCAUUGGGCGUAAAGGGUACGUAGGCGGGUAAGCAAGUUAGAAGUGAAAUCCUGUAGCUCAACUACAGUAAGCUUUUAAAACUGCUCAUCUUGAGAUAUGGAAGGGAAAGUGGAAUUCCUAGUGUAGCGGUGAAAUGCGCAGAUAUUAGGAGGAAUACCGGUGGCGAAGGCGACUUUCUGGCCAUAAUCUGACGCUGAGGUACGAAAGCGUGGGUAGCAAACAGG
rnacentral:rRNA from 1 species